rnacentral:rRNA from 1 species
UACAGAGGGGGCAAGCGUUGUCCGGAUUUACUGGGCGUACAGCGCGCGCAGGCGGUUGCGUAUGUGAGCGGUGACAUCCGCGGGCUCAACCCGCGGCGGCCCGCUUACACAGCGCGACUGGAGGCAGGGAGAGGGAUGUGGAAUACCCGGUGGAGCGGUGAAAUGCGUAGAGAUCGGGAGGAACACCAGUGGCGAAGGCGACUUCCUGGCCUGUUCUUGACGCUGAGGCGCGAAAGCUAGGGGAGCAAACGGG